UACGAACGCUGGCGGCAUGCCUAACACAUGCAAGUCGAACGAGACCUUCGGAUCUAGUGGCUCUCGCGUGCGUAACGCGUGGGAACGUGCCCUUAGGUUCGGAAUAACUCCCCGAAGGGGGUGCUAAUACCGGAUAAUGUCUUCGGACACAAGAUUUAUCGCCUUUGGAUGGGCCCGCGUUGGAUUAGCUAGUUGGUAGGGUAAAAGCCUACGAAGGGUGCGCUCCAUAGCUGGUCUGAGAGGCUGAUCAGCCACACUGGGAGUGAGACGCGGCCCAGACUCCUACGGGAUGCAGGAGAGGGUAAUACAGGAAAAUGGGGUAAGGCCUGAACGAGCAAGGCCGGGUGAGUGAUUAAGGUCUGAGGGAUGUAAAGCUCGUUUACCCGCGAUGAUAAUGACAGUACCGAGAGAAUAAGCACCGGCUAACUCCGUG
rnacentral:rRNA from 1 species